UACGUAGGGUGCGAGCGUUAAUCGGAAUUACUGGGCGUAAAGCGUGCGCAGGCGGUUGGUUAAGUCUGAUGUGAAAGCCCUGGGCUCAACCUGGGAACGGCAUUGGAAACUGGCUUACUAGAGUGCGGUAGAGGGGUGUGGAAUUCCCGGUGUAGCAGUGAAAUGCGUAGAUAUCGGGAGGAACAUCUGUGGCGAAGGCGACACCCUGGACCAGCACUGACACUGAGGCACGAAAGCGUGGGGAGCAAACAGG
rnacentral:rRNA from 1 species